rnacentral:tRNA from 1 species
ACGGACAUGGUGAAAUUUGGUAGACACGUCAGAUUUAGGGUUUGAUGAAAAUAAUUUUGUGAGGGUUCAAGUCCCUCUGUCCGUA